CUUUGCCGCGUCCCAACAUCUUCGGCGGCGGUGUUUGCCGAUCGGCAAACACAUUUGCCGAGCUUUGCCGCUUGCCACACCGUAUACCCUAAACCCAAACACCUAUACACGACAUUCUUUACCCUGAGAUCAAUUUCACUCCAAACCCUAACCAGCAUCUCCCUCAUCACUCUCAAAACCGUCUCCCUCCCCACCACCACUGAUUCGCAUCUCCAUCACUCCCAAACCCUAAUCAACCUUACCCACUUCCCUCAAACAUACACAGAGAAGAAACGGAGAUAGAGUUAGAACAAAUUAUUCUCCCAAAUUCAUUAAGGCCCAAAACAACAAACGGGUUUUCAAGAAAUGUUGAUGGGUUUAAAAAAAAUUGGAAGCUUUUUGAAACCUACAAGUUUGACUGCCACCCAAAAAGUCAAAAUUCAUCUCUGCAAGGCUUAAACCGUCGCUGUGCCGGAUGGCGCCGGUGUUGAACCGCCAAAUUUUUAGGCGUUGAGGUUCUGACCCUAAAAAAGAUUGUAGCUUUAAGGUUGAUGUUAAAGAGCUUGAUUCAAGAGUUCGAGCAGUAACUUAGGCAUAUGCAUUAAAAGAAGAGAAUACGACAGCCGGAGUAAAAGAAGAGAAUACAGCAACUGGGAUACAUUUGGAUAAAGCACAGAUCAAAGGCUCAAUCUUUGUCUUGGGAAUAAUGGUGUAGGUUUGACUUGGAAAGUAGGAAUAUGUAAUGUUUCUAAUUCUCUGACUUUGUAUGUAUUGUGAUGAUGGACUAACAGUUUUGUUGGUCCUUGAUGAAAUAGUAUAUUUGUUGGCCCUUCAAAAAACUUGUAUAAGGCUAUGUGCGUGUGUGAUUAACUGGUUCAUCAUAGACAUCAAAACUAUCACUUAUUCAACUGACUAAAGGUCAACGAACACCCCAAAGUUAACACAUAAGGUGAGCUUGGUUCUUAUUUUAUAAUUAUAAAACUAAGAUAUGAUGUAUCUAAUGAUUACCUGUUUAUUUACAAUGCUAUCUAGGGAAAUCUCAAAAAAUUGGAAGCUUUUUGACACCUUCUGAUUUGACCGCCACCCAAAAAGUCAUACUUCAUCUCUGCAAGGCUUUCUCCGCCACCGUGGCGGAUGGCGCCGGUGCUGAACCGCCGAAGUUUUUGGGCGUUGAGGUUCUGACCCCAUUCGCAUAUCAACACCUAAUUUCGAGCAGGAGCUGGACCAAAUAAAUGAUUCAAUUGUGGUUUGGGACAUGGUUGUAAAAGUCCCGUCUAGGCUCCGAGUAAUCCCCGAGUACUCGCUACAAGGUAGGCUGCCGAGGCACGAGUACUGGUCUCUCAGGCCAAUUACUCCCCGAGUAAUCUCCGCCUAAGCCGAGUACUUCCCGAGUACUCCCGAAUCCGCCUAGGGAGCGCCUAGCGACUUUUGCAACCAUGGUUUGGGAUAUAUUCUCAGGUAUGUCUAUUCUUUAUAGUUUGUACAUUCUGUUUAAUUUUAUUUUGGGAUUUUAACAUUUUACAUUAUGAUAAAUAAAACAUUAUCAAUAUGAGAUAAUAAAGUUAUGAGCCUCACCAAUUUUGGACUAAUUAUUCUAUACUUAUGAGAUAAUAAAGAUUAUCAGUUACAAAAUUUAUAAACAUUUGAGAGAAUUAUUCUAUACUUAUGUGAUAAUAAAGAUUAUCAGCUACAAAAUUUAUAUAUAGAGUUAUUUACUCCUCUUUCAAUCCUCAUAAAAAAAACCAUCAGAAUUCGACCCCUCUAUGCAUACGAGUAAGACUUCUAAUCUCCGUCUUCUAUUUAGGCAUUAUGGCCAGUUAUGUUAUUAUAGGUUAAGUUGUAUACUAUUUAUCUGGUCUCUGAUCUAUAGCAAUAUGUAUUAUUUACUUUUAUUCAUCUAACAUGAUUUGAGGAUUCUUACUCUUCCUUGAUUUAAAAACAGUUAAAUGGAUGCAACAAACAUAUCCUUGCUAAGUGAACUUUAUGUUCUAACAAUGAUUCUACUAUAAAAGUCCAUAUCAUCAGACUGUGGAAGUAACCGGUCUACAAAAACCCAACCGCAACACUAUUUUAUAGGAUGGUCUUAAUAGAUGAGCAGGUAAUAAAUUAAAAGUUUAUAUUUUCACUGAAGCGUAGUUGAAAAAUGCAAGCAAGUGUAGUUGAAAAAUGGUGUAAAUGAUUUGUAAAGUUUCUUGUGGAGAAGAACUGUUUGAUUAUUAAAAUAUUAAGUAUCGUUCAAGAUUCUUCAAAGUACAAAUAUCUUGACAAUCCACCGAAGGAAUGUUCGAUUUGCAAAGUUUCUUGCGGAGUCGGAGUAUCUUCGUAAUAAUAAUUUUGAUACAAGUCUAUACUCACCGGCUGUCUUAAAUGGGCUUAAACUUUCAGGCUUGCCAAAUCAUGGAUUAGUACUAAAGGUCGGUGUUCCAGUAAUGUUGUUACUAAGAAAUAUUGAUAAAAAAAUGGUUUAUGCAAUGGAAGUCGGCUACAGGUCUUAUCAUUGCGAUUGUGGAAGCACAAAUCUCAUCUGGAAAUAAUAUUGGUGCUCGAACGUUUAUCCCGAGAUCUCGAUUAAUAUCGUCAUUUGGUUUAUGCAAUGUAACGUUUAUAAUGGAAAUAUUAUUAUAUCAUCAUUCGGUUUUAUUCAUCAAACCAUGUAACACACGGGGCUAUAAACUAGUAUCCUAAUAAAAGGUCCUAGAAUCUAAUCUAAUCUAUAUAUAUAUGAUAAUAGAUGAAGUGAAUGAACAGUGACACAUAGAUGGUUGGCAAUAUUCUAUUGGACCACAUUUUUUUACUACGUGUUUUUUUUACAUGCCCUGAGUUGCCACGCAUCAGUUCAAAUCACCUACAUAAAAACCCACCGCCACUGCAGAUGAAAACCGAGAGAGAACUGAAGCGGCAAAAGAGUGAUAGAGAGGGGGUAAGGCAUGUGUCUUUUCACCCACGUGUCAAGAAGCCCAAGCCCUUUACUAAAUACGCUUUCAGAAUCCAUAUUCCAGAAAAGAGAACCUGAGGAAAGGAGGGUCUGCUAUAUACAGAGAGAGAGAUAGACGGAGUAGGCCUCCGGCGGCAGCAACGAUGGUUAAACGGUCCGAAUGAUGGUGGAUUCAAUUGACAUUAGGGUUCAGGUGUUUAGAAACUGCGAUGAUGGUGGAUCUGAGUAUUGAACACGGUGACGUUUGUUAGGGUUCCGCCGUACACGGCGGAGGAGAUGGUGGGUCACCGGCGACAUCAUGGAGAUCCGCUGAAGAAUCAGGAACCGGAACUCCGGUGGAUCUGAGGUACGCGAUCAGCGACAUCAUGAGAUCCGCUGAUGAACCAGGAACCCGAACUCCGGUGGAUCUGGUGACUGAGGUCAUAUUAUGGACAGAGGAGAAAGGACGCAAAGAAGAGAGACGGAAGGCGGAAGUUCAACCCAAAAUCUUUGAAAGAGCUGAAGGAAACAUGUUUUGAUUCUGCUUUUGCAAUUUUUCGGAGUUGGAUGCUAUAUUAAUCAUAGGUAGCGUUAAUGUGGGAUGUUUGGUGGGGAUCUUUGUUGUUGGUACGAGUGAAGGUCAAAACCUUACACCAUUAUAGAUCACAUUACUCAUCUAUUUCAUCACCCAUAACCUUAAUUUUGAUGUUAUUGUCAUAUUUGAAGCUCCAAUCCACUGUGUUUGGAGCAGCCUUAGAAUAGGAAAUCUUCAUUUUUACAGUUGGUUUUUGUUUAUGUUUAUGGGUUUCUAAUUGAUGAUACUAUUAUAGUUCAGGAAAUGAUUUGCUUGGUUUGUUGAUUAUGCAUAAAGUCUCAUGCAUAUAGUAUUCAGCCCAUCAAAGCUACUGCCAAGCCACACCUUGUAGUGUUUUGAGUAAGUGUUUUUAACAUGCUUUCUAUGUGUUUGAUGAAAUGCCAAAGCCAGUUUUUUAGUAUUUUGUAUCAAUUAAAAUUUCCUUACUUGGGUUUUUUUUUUUGUAGAGCCCAGCAUUAAUGGUAUGUUUUUUGAAGAUUAUGUUGUUGCUAUGUAUACAUGAGGGUUAUGUAUAAGAUUUAAAUUGGUGUUGGGUAAUAUUGCAAAGAAAAUAUUGAUUAAUGUUAUGAUGUCCAAAUUUAUGCUAUAAGUUAUUAUAUGGGCAAUUCUACUUGGAGUCUUUUUCAUGGUGGGACUGAAAUAUAAACUCUUGGUUGUAUGCUGCAUUUUUAAUUAAUAGCUUAUUUUGAGAACCAACUUUCAAAAAGAAAAUGUGUUCAAUUAUGCUUAUUUAUUAUCACCACACGCUUCCAGUUUCUGUUACCACUUACCAGAGAUUAAGCUUAUUAUAAAUCUACCUUUGCAGCGCAAAACUUUCACGUGCAACGCUAAGAUAAUAGAAAUUCUGACAAGGAAAAAUUGGUAUUAGAAUGCAUGGCCAGGUUGCUUGAAAACAAUAUACAAAAACUGGGACCAGAUGAGGAUACCCAACGGAUGGAAAAGGUGACACUCCCAAAUGCAUAUGAGGGCAUCAACAAUACGAAGAAGACCAUGUACCAAGAUGCCUGAAUCAUAAGGAAAUCGAAUCUUUCGAAAGCUAAGAAAAAUACUGUUGCGAUGCAUGUUGACAAUUAUGUACUUAGAAUAUGUUUAAACCUGGCUAUCUUUUGUAAAACAUUAAAUACUAUAAGUAGUUUUAUGUACUAAUUUGGUUAAAAUUAA